CAGAUGGCUCCCACGCUGGUUCCUUUAGUUUAGUUAGGCCUUAAAUGAUAGCGUGUUGGCUUCCUUUUUUAUCAGAUCUUUUCAGGUCUAGAUGCUAUGAACACCAGACGCUAUUAUGACCCGAGAGCAUGAACUUGAAUCUUCAUUAGUUGAACAAACUACGCUAACACGUAUAUCAGAAAUAACCGUUAGAUAAGUGUUAUUGGUAUCAAAGACAAUUUAUAAAAUUUUUUAUCCAAUCAGAAAAUCAAGCACGUGAUAAAAUGAUGGGAACUACAUUCAUUUUUCUGCAGAUGUUACACUGUAACUAAGGUGAGUUAAACAUUUUAUCUCAGUUUUACUCUCAUUGUACAGCGUCCAUGUGUUUUAGUGUUAGUAUCGAUUUAUUCAUUGUUUUGAUUCACGGUACCUAUGUCUUAUAAGAUAUUCAAAGACGACGAUUUAUGUUUCAGAAACAAAAUAUGAACUGUGCCGCAUGUCCGUAAAGGGGUAUUUCACAUGU